AAGAAAUUUAAUAAUUUUGAAAAUGGAUUUUUUUGUUUUGGCAAGAGCAUGAGAGCUUUUACUGGGCAAGAAGACAAGAGAUGGAGAGUCCAGCCGGGCCUGCGCUUAAGUGCGCGGUCUUGCUAGGCUUGUAAGUUUCUUUCUUGCUAUUCCAAACGGUGAGAGAUUUCUGUGCUUUUGUUAUAGGACAAUUAAAACCGUUUCAAUACAACACACUGUGGAGUUUUCAUAUCUUUGCAACUUUUUCUUUGGGCAUUCGAGCAAUCGGGGCCCAGAGGUAACAAACACAAACAAUUUUAUUUAUUCAUUAAAUUUUUGUCAAAAACAAGAAUUUUCGUAACUGGAAAUUUUAAAAUAUUAAAAACUUUCAACAACGGAUCUCUUGGUUCUCGCAUCGAUGAAGAACGCAGCGAAAUGCGAUACGUAAUGUGAAUUGCAGAAUUCCGUGAAUCAUCGAAUCUUUGAACGCACAUUGCGCCCCUUGGUAUUCCAGGGGGCAUGCCUGUUUGAGCGUCAUUUCCUUCUCAAACAUUCUGUUUGGUAGUGAGUGAUACUCUUUGGAGUUAACUUGAAAUUGCUGGCCUUUUCAUUGGAUGUUUUUUUUCCAAAGAGAGGUUUCUCUGCGUGCUUGAGGUAUAAUGCAAGUACGGUCGUUUUAGGUUUUACCAACUGCGGCUAAUCUUUUUUUAUACUGAGCGUAUUGGAACGUUAUCGAUAAGAAGAGAGCGUCUAGGCGAACAAUGUUCUUAAAGU
rnacentral:misc_RNA from 1 species